rnacentral:rRNA from 1 species
GGUGACAAACCGGAGGAAGGUGGGGAUGACGUCAAGUCAUCAUGGCCCUUAUGGGCAGGGCUACACACGUGCUACAAUGGCCGGCACAAUGGGUUGCCAACCCGCGAGGGGGAGCUAAUCCCAUAAAACCGGUCGUAGUCCGGAUCGCAGUCUGCAACUCGACUGCGUGAAGUCGGAAUCGCUAGUAAUCGCAGAUCAGCAAUGCUGCGGUGAAUACGUUCCCGGGCCUUGUACACACCGCCCGUCACACCAUGGGAGUCGGCUGCACCAGAAGUCGGUAGUCUAACCUUCGGGAGGACGCCGCCCACGGUGUGGUCGAUGACUGGGGUGAAGUCGUAACAAGGUAGCCGUAGGGGAACCUGCGGCUGGAUCACCUCCUUU